rnacentral:rRNA from 1 species
UGGGAAUUUUGGACAAUGGGCGAAGCUGAUCCAGCAAUGCCGCGUGUGUGAAGAAGGCCUUCGGGUUGUAAAGCACUUUUGUCCGGAAAGAAAUCCUUGGCUCUAAUACAGUCGGGGGAUGACGGUACCGGAAGAAUAAGCACCGGCUAACUACGUGCCAGCAGCCGCGGUAAUACGUAGGGUGCAAGCGUUAAUCGGAAUUACUGGGCGUAAAGCGUGCGCAGGCGGUUUGCUAAGACCGAUGUGAAAUCCCCGGGCUCAACCUGGGAACUGCAUUGGUGACUGGCAGGCUAGAGUAUGGCAGAGGGGGGUAGAAUUCCACGUGUAGCAGUGAAAUGCGUAGAGAUGUGGAGGAAUACCGAUGGCGAAGGCAGCCCCUGGCAAGUACUGACGCUCAUGCACGAAAAGCGUGGGGGAGCAAAC